rnacentral:miRNA from 1 species
CCCAGGCCAAUUGGCUGU